GAAAUCACCGGCCUCGCCGGUAUAAAAUUCUAUCCACCUUGUGUGCAAACAAUGGAAAAAGAGAGAAAAUUGGAUAUUUUUGGUAUCCAACUUCUCUAAAAUUCUUUAUAAACUCCAUCAAAUUUUGAAUAAAACAAUUUUUUUUUAAUAAAAAAUAUUAUA
rnacentral:misc_RNA from 1 species